GAUAUGGCUCAGAUUGAACGCUGGCGGCAGGCCUAACACAUGCAAGUCGAACGGUAACAGAAAGCAGCUUGCUGCUUUGCUGACGAGUGGCGGACGGGUGAGUAGUGUCUGGGAAACUGCCUGAUGGAGGGGGAUAACUACUGGAAACGGUAGCUAAUACCGCAUAACGUCGCAAGACCAAAGAGGGGGACCUUCGGGCAUCUUGCCAUCGGAUGUGCCCAGAUGGGAUUAG
rnacentral:rRNA from 1 species